rnacentral:tRNA from 1 species
GGGGAUUUAGCUCAGUGGUAGAGCGCUUGCCUAGCAAGCACAAGGCUCUGGGUUAAGUCCUCA